rnacentral:hammerhead_ribozyme from 1 species
AUAUAACAAGUCCCAAAUAGGACGAAACGCGCGUCCUGGAU